UACGUAGGGGGGCAAGCGUUGUCCGGAUUUAUUGGGCGUAAAGAGCGUGUAGGCGGCCAGGUAGGUCCGUUGUGAAAACUCGAGGCUCAACCUCGAGACGUCGGCGGAAACCCUCUGGCUAGAGUCCGGAAGAGGAGAGUGGAAUUCCUGGUGUAGCGGUGAAAUGCGCAGAUAUCAGGAAGAACACCCGUGGCGAAGGCGGGUCUCUGGGCAGUAACUGACGCUGAGGAGCGAAAGCGUGGGGAGCGAACAGG
rnacentral:rRNA from 1 species